rnacentral:lncRNA from 1 species
GUUAUGGCAAGGUGAUGAUGUGUGAGCAUUCUUAUUCCUCGCUGAAAUCAUGUGCUGCUUAGGUUUGGGGCGCGCGAUGGUUAAGUCCUACCAACCUCUCCCCUAGGGACAUGCGGGUAGUACUUUGCUUAGAGAGCUAAUAAAACAUUGCGAUAAGUAUAUGAGUUCUUUAUGACUAAUGUGAAUCCAUGGAUGUACGCACACUCACCACCUCAUAUAUGCUAGCCUCUUCGGUACCGUGCAUCGCCCAUUCUCACCUCGAGGAUCGAUGCAAACUUCGUCGGUGCAUCCAAACCCUGCGACAUUAUACGCUCUACUGCACAUAAG